GAUAAACGCUGGCGGCGCACAUAAGACAUGCAAGUUGAACGGACUUAAUCGAAAUAUUUAUCUUUUGAAGCGGUUAGUGGCGGACUGGUGAGUAACGCGUAAGGAACCUGCCUAUUAGAGGGGAAUAACAGUGAGAAAUCAUUGCUAAUACCGCAUAUGCCAUAGAUAUCACAUGAUAACAGUGGGAAAGGAGCAAUCCGCUAAUAGAUGGCCUUGCGUCUGAUUAGAUAGUUGGUGGGGUAACGGCCUACCAAGUCGACGAUCAGUAGCCGGACUGAGAGGUUGAACGGCCACAUUGGGACUGAGAGACGGCCCAGACUCCUACGGGAGGCAGCAGUCGGGAAUAGUGCGCAAUGGAGGAAACUCUGACGCAGUGACGCCGCGUAUAGGAAGAAGGUUUUCGGAUUGUAAACUAUUGUCGUUAGGGAAGAGAAAGGACAGUACCUAAGGAGGAAGCUCCGGCUAACUACGUG
rnacentral:rRNA from 1 species